rnacentral:lncRNA from 1 species
GCGAGAAAAAAACUUGUGCAUUCCAAUUAAGACCUAGUGAAGCUCCACGCAGGCAUUCCCUUCCCCAGUACCUUGCUAAUUAAUCCCAGUCUCUAAUGCCUCUCCAACUGCUCCAUUUACCACAGGCUCGGUUAAGGCUACCAGGAACUUACUUAGACUUGCUGUCCCUCCGACUGCUUUACACCAAGUUCAUGACGGAGGGAACAAGGCUGCCUCACCGAGUCGACCGUAGACAGUGUCGUGUACCUGGCUAGCCCAUGCUCCCGCUAGAGGCCGUGCCCGUCCUACCUUUACGGUACCCGCACGAGAGAGCAUACGAUACCGUGCCCUAGCGGCAGCCCUCCGCACCAAGGACUCCACACAUAGCCAAGCAAGGUUAUGGUGUCGCCAUGUCUGAUUCCCAGGUGCCACACAUUCCAAUCUGUUCAUGUGUUGAUCAUCAGAGGUUACACCAUGAUGCUUCAUUGUGGUGAUCCGUUGGUUGAAAGCUUCAGCGACGGUGAAGAAACCAAUUGGGUUGGAUGAUCUAUCGCAGACGGAGGGGAAAUAUGCUAUGUGUGAUCCGAUGGAUGGCACUACUGAAGCCUUCGCAAAAUUGUGGCGGAAAGAAGAGG